CAGGACGCAUGUGGCUUCUGUUGGUGUGAGCUGACAGUGCCCCAAACAGAACUUCAGUGUGCCCCAGGGAGGACACAGAAUGUAGUAUCUUCCCUGCAGGGGGGAUCUCCAGGUUUUGUGGGGCCUGAAGCCGAAACAAUUUGGAGGGCUCGGACCAUCAAGGGGCCUCAUGUGCGAGAGGGGCCCUGGAGCUUAAGUGUCAUUAACUUGGUAGGAAGUCUGCUUGCCUGGUGAGACUGGGUUUGCCCUGCCUACAGCCCAGUUUUGCUUCCAAAUGACUUAAAUUACAUGUUUUCCCUUCUUGCCUUUUGCAAAUGCAUUAAAAUUUACGAAUUGAACAAUAAAAUCGUCAUUCAAUAACAUAGUCAUUUUUGGCAAAAUGGCUCGUUUAACCCUCCCCUACUCAAAUUGCUAACAAUGCAUGACGGAACGAAAGAGGCCAAACCCCACGAACCUCGUCUGCAGUGUGGAGCUGGGUAGGGCGGUGGGGGGUGGGGGGAUUCUUCUAGCAUUUAUUGAGUCUGCCUGUACAGACAUCGUGCUGGGUGCUUGCGUUGUAUUAUUUCAUCUUUUUUUACUCAUCUAUAAGGUCAGGAGUGUGGCUAAAGGCCAUUUCUGAUGAGGUUAUGAGCUUCCAAAGUGUUUCUAAAUCCUUAGUGCAGACACCCUCCCUUUUGGGGCAUAGUAACCUCCCUCCCACCCCUAUUAAAAAAAAAAAAGAAAAGAAAAAGAAAAAAAAAAAACCUAAACAGUGAUCAGAAUGAGAUGUUUUGAUUCCAACCAAUUUACACUCAAGGCUUUGUGCUGAAUUGUCUGGUUCUGACCCAAGCAUGAUGGUAUCAAACACAAAGCACACAGCAAAGGAAAGAUGCUCCCAUCUCAUUCUGAAAAAAAUAAUAUUGAUAACCAAUUGCCUCCCCCCUCCCUCCAGCCACUGGGGCCCACCCAUAUGAUGAUGCUAGGACCAACUUGAAAAUAAUUAAGAGACAUAUUUAGAUUUCCUUCUCCCUUAACUUCUUCCCAUGGGAGAUCAUUUUAGAGUAAGUUUAUUCCAUUCCCAAAGGAAAGCCAAGAAAGUUUCUCCAUCAAAAUAUACGGGAAGAGAAAAACUAAACAGGCCCAGAGGCAUCAAGGUGUGUAACGAUCCAUAAACCAUUACACAACUACUACACCACAGGCCAAACCAUGAGAUGGACAUAAUUUAAGUAUUAAAAAUAGGGAAGUCUCAUUCAAAUAAACCACUGGAAAAAAAAUACCGCCA
rnacentral:lncRNA from 1 species